GCCCCUUACCGGGGUUGCGGACAGUGUCUGGUGGGUAGUUUGACUGGGGCGGUCUCCUCCUAAAGAGUAACGGAGGAGCACGAAGGUUGGCUAAUCCUGGUCGGACAUCAGGAGGUUAGUGCAAUGGCAUAAGCCAGCUUGACUGCGAGCGUGACGGCGCGAGCAGGUGCGAAAGCAGGUCAUAGUGAUCCGGUGGUUCUGAAUGGAAGGGCCAUCGCUCAACGGAUAAAAGGUACUCCGGGGAUAACAGGCUGAUACCGCCCAAGAGUUCAUAUCGACGGCGGUGUUUGGCACCUCGAUGUCGGCUCAUCACAUCCUGGGGCUGAAGUAGGUCCCAAGGGUAUGGCUGUUCGCCAUUUAAAGUGGUACGCGAGCUGGGUUUAGAACGUCGUGAGACAGUUCGGUCCCUAUCUGCCGUGGGCGCUGGAGAACUGAGGGGGGCUGCUCCUAGUACGAGAGGACCGGAGUGGACGCAUCACUGGUGUUCGGGUUGUCAUGCCAAUGGCACUGCCCGGUAGCUAAAUGCGGAAGAGAUAAGUGCUGAAAGCAUCUAAGCACGAAACUUGCCCCGAGAUGAGUUCUCCCUGACUCCUUGAGAGUCCUGAAGGAACGUUGAAGACGACGACGUUGAUAGGCCGGGUGUGUAAGCGCAGCGAUGCGUUGAGCUAACCGGUACUAAUGAACCGUGAGGCUUAACCUUACAACGCCGAAG
rnacentral:rRNA from 1 species